GGCACCUCGACAACAUGAGGAGGCUUACGUGAAUCAUUGGGGUGACCAUACACUCAAUGUCCAAGCGAUUUGUGAUCCUGAAUUAAAAAUAUUAAAUGUGAAUGCACGAUAUCCAGGUGCCCGGCAUGACGCGUAUAUUUGGUCAAAUUCUCCCGUACGUCGAAUCAUGUAACGACGAUAUAACAAUGGAGAGCGCAAUACUUGGCUGAUAGGUGACGAUGGUUACGGACUUGAACCAUGGCUAUUCACGCCUUUAAAACAUGAAAUACCAGGUUCUCCGAGAUAUCAAUACAAUGAAAAUUUGUGCAGCGCAAGGUCAUGUGUAGAACGCUUAUUUGGUGUAUGGAAAGCAGUAUUCAGAUGUCUGUCAGCACAAAGGUAAUUAAUGUACGAACCUGAUAUAGCUGGUAAAAUAGUCAACGCAUGUGCUGUACUACACAACAUGAGAAUUGCACAUCGUUUGCAAGAUAUAGAAGUAGACGAACAAGAAAUUUUACAUCAUAUACAGAUGAACGAUAGAGCUGUCAGACAGGAUGAAGCUUUACCAG